GCCGUUAGGGCUGCUUGGGCAGGCCAUUGCGAUAUAGUGGUUUUAGAGGUUAGUGUUCCUCCGUCGGUA
rnacentral:tRNA from 1 species